rnacentral:rRNA from 1 species
UACAGAGGGGGCAAGCGUUGUUCGGAAUUACUGGGCGUAAAGGGCGCGUAGGCGGCCUGUUAAGUCGAACGUGAAAUCCCCGGGCUCAACCCGGGAACUGCGUCCGAUACUGGCAGGCUUGAAUUCGGGAGAGGGAUGCGGAAUUCCAGGUGUAGCGGUGAAAUGCGUAGAUAUCUGGAGGAACACCGGUGGCGAAGGCGGCAUCCUGGACCGAGAUUGACGCUGAGGCGCGAAAGCCAGGGGAGCGAACGGG